AUUGAAGGAAUCAGUGUGUGCUUUCCCUGUCCGACAGGAUUGGGUAACUCGUUGAACCUCCUUCGUGCUGGGGAUAGGGGCUUGUAAUUGUUCCCCUUAAAC
rnacentral:ncRNA from 1 species